rnacentral:rRNA from 1 species
CCGCCGGCGACCGGCGCACGGGUGAGUAACACGUAUGCAACCUGCCCGUGGCAGGGGGAUAAGCGGGGGAAACCCCGUCUAAUACCGCGUAACGCGGCCUUGGGGCAUCCCAAGGCCGCCAAAGGGAGCAAUCCCGGCCACGGAUGGGCAUGCGGCGCAUUAGCUAGUCGGCGGGGUAACGGCCCACCGAGGCGACGAUGCGUAGGGGUUCUGAGAGGAAGGCCCCCCACACUGGUACUGAGACACGGACCAGACUCCUACGGGAGGCAGCAG